AGAGUUGAUCAUGGCUCAGGAUGAACGCUAGCGGCAGGCUUAACACAUGCAAGUCGAGGGGCAGCGGGAUGUAGCAAUACAUGCCGGCGACCGGCGGAUGGGUGCGUAACGCGUAUGCAACCUACCUUAUACAGGGGAAUAACCUUUCGAAAGGGAGACUAACACCCCAUAGUAUUGAUUUAAGGCAUCUUAGAUUAAUUAAAUAUUUAUAGGUAUAAGAUGGGCAUGCGUAUGAUUAGCUAGUUGGUAAGGUAACGGCUUACCAAGGCGACGAUCAUUAGGGGUUCUGAGAGGAAGGUCCCCCACACUGGUACUGAGACACGGACCAGACUCCUACGGGAGGCAGCAGUGAGGAAUAUUGGUCAAUGGGCGCAAGCCUGAACCAGCCAUGCCGCGUGCAAGGAAGACGGCCUUAUGGGUUGUAAACUGCUUUUACAUAAGACUAACCGUAUAUUUGCGAAUAUACCUGAAUGUAUUAUGAGAAUAAGGAUCGGCUAACUCCGUGCCAGCCGCAGC
rnacentral:rRNA from 1 species